UCUCUAUCACUUAUGGUUUACCAGUUAGAAAUGCAUAUCACCUAUAUCAUAUAUAAAAGGGGGGAUAACUCUCAUAUGGAGUCUCCGGAUAGCUUCGGUCAAAAUUAAUCAAAUCAUCUUGAGGAUGUAACGAGCAAUUUGGUAAAAUAAAUUUGUCGGUUUCUUAUACGGUUGCGAAGCCUUAGAGAUAACAAGAAAAACAGUGUUCGGGGAGAUAACUCUUACAAGGUAAAGGUUUUUGUUACGCGGUGUCAGUUUCAGAAGCGUAUUAACUGUUCGAUAUCAUAUACCAUAUAUCUAAGCGACAUCUUGCGAAACAAAAAAACAGUGAAGGAAAAAAAAGUUGGCGGAAGAAAAAAAAUAAUAAUAAUAAUAAUAAUAAUAAUAAUAAUCAGAACAAAUACAAUAGGUCUUUCACCUGAAAGGUUGAAAGACCUAAUAAUCAGGGUCUUUCACCUGAAAGGUUGAAAGACCUAAUAAUCAGAACAAAAACAAUAGGUCUUCAACUGAAAGGUUGAAAGACCUAAUAAUAAUCAGAACAAAACCUAUAGGUCUUUCAACCGAAAGGUUGAAAGACCUAAUAAUAAUAAUAAUCAGAACAAAAACAAUAGGUCUUUCACCUGAAAGGUUGAAAGACCUAAUAAUAAUCAGAACAAAAACAAUAGGUCUUUCACCUGAAAGGUUGAAAGACCUAAUAAUAAUAAUCAGAACAAAAACAAUAGGUCUUUCAUCCGAAAGGUUGAAAGACCUAAUAAUCAGAAGAAAUCCAAUAGGUCUUUCCACGGAAAAGUGGAAAGACCUAAUAAUAAUCAGAAGAAAUCCAAUAGGUCUUUCCACGGAAAAGUGGAAAGACCUAAUUAUAUUAUCAUAACUGCAGU
rnacentral:lncRNA from 1 species